rnacentral:rRNA from 1 species
AAAUUGAAGAGUUUGAUCAUGGCUCAGAUUGAACGCUGGCGGCAGGCCUAACACAUGCAAGUCGAACGGUAACAGGAAGCAGCUUGCUGCUUUGCUGACGAGUGGCGGACGGGUGAGUAAUGUCUGGGAAACUGCCUGAUGGAGGGGGAUAACUACUGGAAAAGGUGGCUAAUACCGCAUAACGUCGCAAGACCAAAGAGGGGGACCUUCGGGCCUCUUGCCAUCAGAUGUGCCCAGAUGGGAUUAGCUAGUUGGUGAGGUAACGGCUCACCAAGGCGACGAUCCCUAGCUGGUCUGAGAGGAUGACCAGCCACACUGGAACUGAGACACGGUCCAGACUCCUACGGGAGGCAGCAGUGGGGAAUAUUGCACAAUGGGCGCAAGCCUGAUGCAGCCAUGCCGCGUGUAUGAAGAAGGCCUUCGGGUUGUAAAGUACUUUCAGCGGGGAGGAAGGUGUUGUGGUUAAUAACCGCAGCAAUUGACGUUACCCGCAGAAGAAGCACCGGCUAACUCCGUGCCAGCAGCCGCGGUAAUACGGAGGGUGCAAGCGUUAAUCGGAAUUACUGGGCGUAAAGCGCACGCAGGCGGUCUGUCAAGUCGGAUGUGAAAUCCCCGGGCUCAACCUGGGAACUGCAUUCGAAACUGGCAGGCUUGAGUCUUGUAGAGGGGGGUAGAAUUCCAGGUGUAGCGGUGAAAUGCGUAGAGAUCUGGAGGAAUACCGGUGGCGAAGGCGUCCCCCUGGACAAAGACUGACGCUCAGGUGCGAAAGCGUGGGGAGCAAACAGGAUUAGAUACCCUGGUAGUCCACGCCGUAAACGAUGUCUACUUGGAGGUUGUGCCCUUGAGGCGUGGCUUCCGGAGCUAACGCGUUAAGUAGACCGCCUGGGGAGUACGGCCGCAAGGUUAAAACUCAAAUGAAUUGACGGGGGCCCGCACAAGCGGUGGAGCAUGUGGUUUAAUUCGAUGCAACGCGAAGAACCUUACCUGGUCUUGACAUCCACAGAAGAAUCCAGAGAUGGAUUUGUGCCUUCGGGAACUGUGAGACAGGUGCUGCAUGGCUGUCGUCAGCUCGUGUUGUGAAAUGUUGGGUUAAGUCCCGCAACGAGCGCAACCCUUAUCCUUUGUUGCCAGCGAUUAGGUCGGGAACUCAAAGGAGACUGCCAGUGAUAAACUGGAGGAAGGUGGGGAUGACGUCAAGUCAUCAUGGCCCUUACGACCAGGGCUACACACGUGCUACAAUGGCGCAUACAAAGAGAAGCGACCUCGCGAGAGCAAGCGGACCUCAUAAAGUGCGUCGUAGUCCGGAUUGGAGUCUGCAACUCGACUCCAUGAAGUCGGAAUCGCUAGUAAUCGUGGAUCAGAAUGCCACGGUGAAUACGUUCCCGGGCCUUGUACACACCGCCCGUCACACCAUGGGAGUGGGUUGCAAAAGAAGUAGGUAGCUUAACCUUCGGGAGGGCGCUUACCACUUUGUGAUUCAUGACUGGGGUGAAGUCGUAACAAGGUAACCGUAGGGGAACCUGCGGUUGGAUCACCUCCUUACCUUAAAGAAGC